AAUCCAUUUAUUCUUCUCUCUCUUAAAUGCAAUUCUCUCUCUAGUUCAUUAUUUUUCCCUUAUAAUUAAAUCAUAGAAGUUUUGUCAGAUGGAUAAAUCAGUUGGAUUACGAGGGUAUUGCUGCUUCAAUUGCCGGAAUAUUGUAGCAGAUCAUGAUGAUAUCAUUAACAAGGAAUUUUUUGGCAUACAUGAAAAGGGUAGAGGACGAGCAUUUCUAUUUUCUCAUGCCAUCAAUGUUGUUGAGGAGCCUCCAUAUUACAUGGUAAUGUUAACUGGUCCUCAUGUGGUGUCUGAUAUUUUAUGUGCUGAAUGUGGCAAGAAUUUGGGAUGGAAAUACCAGAGAAGUUUUCGUGAAGUGAACAAGUACAAGGAAGGCAAAAUUGUCUUGGUCAAGUACAACAUCAUCAAGGUUUAGGUUAUUCAUCCUCAUUCCUCAUUUCAAUGAUAUGAAUCUAAAUUGGUUACUUUUAGAUAAUGUUUAGUCCAUUAUCAUGUUUAAAGUUUUGAACUUUGACAUUCAUUCAUUAUUAAGUUAUAUAUGCACUAGAUUUUGGGUCAA